GUGUCAGCAGCCGCGGUAAUACGAAGGGUGCAAGCGUUACUCGGAAUUACUGGGCGUAAAGCGUGCGUAGGUGGUUUGUUAAGUCUGUUGUGAAAGCCCCGGGCUCAACCUGGGAAUGGCAAUGGAUACUGGCAAGCUAGAGUGCGGUAGAGGGUAGUGGAAUUCCCGGUGUAGCGGUGAAAUGCGUAGAGAUCGGGAGGAACACCAGUGGCGAAGGCGGCUACCUGGACCAGCACUGACACUGAGGCACGAAAGCGUGGGGAGCAAACAGGAUUAGAUACCCUGGUAGUCC
rnacentral:rRNA from 1 species